GUUCUUCCUGACGGAAAUUGACAAGAUGCUCGAACUGUUAGACAAUUUAAACAGUAUUUUCUGAUUAUUCCCGAACUUUAUAAGGUUUACGUUCUUCGCAAAGGACAGGUUUCAAGGACCCUGCUAUUCCCUCAUUUGUGGCACGCAGCCAACGAGUUUUCACGGUGCUAAUGGAGAUUUGGACGCUUCAUUAAAUGAGUUAAAGAAA